rnacentral:rRNA from 1 species
CCUACGGGAGGCAGCAGUGGGGGAUAUUGCACAAUGGGGGGAACCCUGAUGCAGCGACGCCGCGUGGGUGAAGACGCGCCUCGGCGCGUAAAGCCCUGUCAGCAGGGAAGAAAAUGACGGUACCUGAAGAAGAAGCCCCGGCUAACUACGUGCCAGCAGCCGCGGUAAUACGUCGGGGGCAAGCGUUAUCCGGAUUUACUGGGGGUAAAGGGGGCGCAGGCGGCGAUGCAAGCCAGGAGUGAAAGCCCGGGGCCCAACCCCGGGACUGCUCUGGAAACUGCGUGACUAGAGUGCAGGAGGGGCAGGCGGAAUGCCUGGUGUAGCGGUGAAAUGCGUAGAUAUUAGGAGGAACACCGGUGGCGAAGGCGGUCUGCUGGACAGCAACUGACGCUGAGGCGCGAAAGCGUGGGGAGCAAACAGGAUUAGAUACCCCGGUAGUC